UCUUGGUCAUUUAGAGGAAGUAAAAGUCGUAACAAGGUCUCCGUUGGUGAACCAGCGGAGGGAUCAUUACUGAGUUACCGAUCUAUAACCCUUUGUGAACAUACCUAACUGUUGCUUCGGCGGGCAGGGGGUCCCCUCGGGGACGCCCUCCCGGCCACGCCCUUCACGGGGCGAGGCGCCCGCCGGAGGAUACCAAACUCUAUUUUAACGACGUUUCUUCUGAGUGGCACAAGCAAAUAAUUAAAACUUUUAACAACGGAUCUCUUGGUUCUGGCAUCGAUGAAGAACGCAGCGAAAUGCGAUAAGUAAUGUGAAUUGCAGAAUUCAGUGAAUCAUCGAAUCUUUGAACGCACAUUGCGCCCGCCAGCAUUCUGGCGGGCAUGCCUGUUCGAGCGUCAUUUCAACCCUCAAGCUCUGCUUGGUGUUGGGGCCCUACGGUUGACGUAGGCCCUUAAAGGUAGUGGCGGACCCUCUCGGAGCCUCCUUUGCGUAGUAACUAACGUCUCGCAUUGGGAUUCGGAGGGACUCUUGCCGUAAAACCCCCAAAUUUUCUAAUGGUUGACCUCGGAUCAGGUAGGAAUACCCGCUGAACUUAAGCAUAUCAAUAAGCGGAGGA
rnacentral:rRNA from 1 species